rnacentral:ncRNA from 1 species
CGUAACUAUAACGGUCCUAAGGUAGCGAAAUUCCUUGUCAGGUAAGUUCUGACCCGCACGAAAGGUGUAACGAUCUGGGCACUGUCUCGACCAUAGACUCGGUGAAAUUUUAAUACCUGUGAAAAUGCAGGUUACCCGCGACAGGACGGAAAGACCCCGUGGAGCUUUACUGCAGCUUGAUAUUGGGAUCUGGUUCAUUUUGUAGAGGAUAGGUGGGAGACGUUGAUACUAGGACGCUAGUUCUAGUGGAGUCAACCUUGGAAUACCACCCUUGAUGAAUUGGAUUUCUAACUUGGUACCAUGAAUCUGGUAUGAGGACAGUGUCUGGUGGGCAGUUUGACUGGGGCGGUCGCCUCCUAAAGAGUAACGGAGGCGCUCAAAGGUUCCCUCAAAAUGGUUGGGGAAAUCAAGCAAAAGAGUGCAAACGCAGAAGCGAGCCUAACUGCGAGACUGACGGGUCGAGCAGUAACGAAAGUUGGAGUUAGUCAAGCAGAUACGAAAGUAGGACUUAGUGAUCAGGCGAUUCAGUAUGGAAUGGUCGUCGCUUAACGGAUAAAAGUUACCCUGGGGAUAACAGGCUGAUACCACCCAAUAGUUCACAUAGACGGUGGUGUUUGGCACCUCGAUGUCGGCUCGUCACAUCCUGGAGGUGGAUUCGCUUCCAAGGGUUGGGCUGUUCGCCCAUUAAAGUGGCACGCGAGCUGGGUUCAGAACGUCGUGAGACAGUUCGGUCCCUAUCCGUCGUGGGCGUAGGAAAAUUGAGGAGAGCUGUUCCUAGUACGAGAGGACCGGAACGGACAUACCUCUGGUGUAUCUGUUGUCACGCCAGUGGCAGUGCAGAGUAGCUAUGUAUGGAAUGGAUAACCGCUGAAAGCAUCUAAGCGGGAAGCCAACUUCAAGAUGAGUUUUCCCAUAUUUUAUAUAGUAAGUUCCCUCAAAGACGAUGAGGUUGAUAGGUUAGAGGUGUAAGCAUGGCGACAUGUUGAGCUGACUAAUACUAAUAGAACGAGGAUUUAAUCAU